UACAGAGGUCUCAAGCGUUGUUCGGAAUUACUGGGCGUAAAGGGCGCGUAGGCGGCCAUCUAAGUCAGACGUGAAAUCCCCCGGCUUAACCUGGGAACUGCGUCUGAUACUGGACGGCUUGAGUAUGGGAGAGGGAUGUAGAAUUCCAGGUGUAGCGGUGAAAUGCGUAGAUAUCUGGAGGAAUACCGGUGGCGAAGGCGGCAUCCUGGACCAUUACUGACGCUGAGGCGCGAAAGCGUGGGGAGCGAACAGG
rnacentral:rRNA from 1 species